GUCCCUGUAACGCAAUGGAUAGCGUGUUGAUCUUCUGAACCAAAGGUUGCGGGUUCGAAUCCCACCUGGAAUG